UGCCCUGAAUAUGGCGUAAAACUAUUCAAGCAUUUUAACAUAAGAGGUGAAACCUCGUAAAAAAUCGUA
rnacentral:ncRNA from 1 species